rnacentral:rRNA from 1 species
GACGAACGCUGGCGGCGUGCUUAACACAUGCAAGUCGAACGGAAAGGCCCUGCUUUUGUUGGGUUCUCGUUUGGCGAACGGGUGAGUAACACGUGAGUAACCUGCCCUUGACUUUGGGAUAACUUCAGGAAACUGGGGCUAAUACCUUAUAGGAUCUCCUGCUGCAUGGUGGUGUUUGGAAAUUUUCGGCGGUUGGGGAUGGACUCGCGGCUUAUCAGCUUGUUUGUGGGGUAGUGGCUUACCAAGGGUUUGACGGGUAGCCGGCCUGAGAGGGUGACCGGAGACAGUGGGAGUGAGAGAAGGCACAGAAUGGUACGGGAGGAAGCAGUGGGGAAUAUUGCACAAUGGGAGGAAGCCUGAUGAAGAAACGCAGCGAGCGGGAUGACGGCCUUCGGGUUGAAAACAGAUUUAGCAUGUGACGAAGAGUGAGUGACGGUAAUGGGUAAAGAAGCACCGGCUAACUACGUG